rnacentral:tRNA from 1 species
AUAAUUACAUAACUGUGUCAAAGUUAAUUUAUAGGUUAGAGUCCUUUAUAUCUUA